AACGAACGCUGGCGGCGUGCCUAACACAUGCAAGUCGUGCGAGAAAGUUCCUUCGGGAGCGAGUAAAGCGGCGCACGGGUGAGUAACACGUAGGUAACCUGCCCCCCAGUCUGGAACAACUAGAGGAAACUCUAGCUAAUGCCGGAUGAGACCACGAUCCCUUCGGGGGUUGCGGCCAAAGAUGGCCUCUACUUGUAAGCUAUCGCUGAGGGAUGGGGCCUGCGGGCCAUUAGCUUGUUGGUGAGGUAACGGCUCACCAAGGCUGUGAUGGCUAGCUGGUCUGAGAGGAUGACCAGCCACACUGGGACUGAGACACGGCCCAGACUCCUACGGGAGGCAGCAGUGGGGAAUAUUGGACAAUGGGGGCAACCCUGAUCCAGCGAUGCCGCGUGUGUGAAGAAGGCCUGAGGGUUGUAAAGCACUUUAGUUGGGGAGGAAGAAUCUAGAUAUGAAUAAGAUUUAGAAGUGACGUUACCCAAGAAUAAGCACCGGCUAACU
rnacentral:rRNA from 1 species